AUAUCAAUAAGCGGAGGAAAAGAAACCAACAGGGAUUGCCCUAGUAACGGCGAGUGAAGCGGCAACAGCUCAAAUUUGAAAUCUGGCUUUGGCCCGAGUUGUAAUUUGCAGAGGAAGCUUCUGGCAACGCGCCGUCCGAGUCCCCUGGAACGGGGCGCCAUAGAGGGUGAGAGCCCCGUAUGGACGGAUGUCUAGCCUGUGUGAAGCUCCUUCGACGAGUCGAGUAGUUUGGGAAUGCUGCUCAAAAUGGGAGGUAAAUUCCUUCUAAAGCUAAAUAUUGGCCAGAGACCGAUAGCGCACAAGUAGAGUGAUCGAAAGAUGAAAAGCACUUUGAAAAGAGGGUUAAACAGCACGUGAAAUUGUUGAAAGGGAAGCGCUUGUGACCAGACUUGCGCCUGGCUGAUCAUCCGGUGUUCUCACCGGUGCACUCUGCCAGGCUCAGGCCAGCAUCGGUUUUCGUGGGGGGAUAAAGGUCUCGGGAACGUAGCUCCUCCGGGAGUGUUAUAGCCCGGGGCGUAAUGCCCUCGCGGGGACCGAGGUUCGCGCAUCUGCAAGGAUGCUGGCGUAAUGGUCAUCAGCGA
rnacentral:rRNA from 1 species